GUCGAGAAUCUUUCACAAUGGGGGCAACCCUGAUGGAGCGACGCCGCGUGGAGGAUAAGGUCUUCGGAUUGUAAACUCCUGUCAUGCGUGAACAAGGUUGCUUGGAUAAUACCUGAGCAAAUUGAUGGUAGCGCAAGAGGAAGAGACGGCUAACUCUGUGCCAGCAGCCGCGGUAAUACAGAGGUCUCAAGCGUUGUUCGGAAUCACUGGGCGUAAAGGGUGCGUAGGUGGCGUGGUAAGUCAGAUGUGAAAGCCCGGGGCUCAACCUCGGAACUGAAUCCGAUACUGCCAUGCUAGAGUACUGGAGAGGUGACUAGAAUUCUCGGUGUAGCAGUGAAAUGCGUAGAUAUCGAGAGGAAUACCAAAGGCGUAGGCAGGUCACUGGACAGUUACUGACACUGAGGCACGAAGGCCAGGGGAGCGAACGGGAUUAGAAACCCUUGUAGUCC
rnacentral:rRNA from 1 species